rnacentral:lncRNA from 1 species
UGGAAACUGGAUGGUCCCCAAACUGAGUCCAAGUCCUGCAUCUGCCAGUCGUGUGAACUUGGCAUGAGAACGCCCUUCUCUCUGCAAGAAGAUGCCCGCCUUUACCAAGGUGACUUCCAAGGACUUCAGGAACCUGAAACCUCGUCCUUGAUCGACUCGUGGUGUUGAAGGCCCUGCCAAAGCCAGCCUGGCGCUGCUCUCUGGGAUGGAGACGGGAGACGGCUUUCCAGGUCUAAAUUCUCGUGGGUGGUUCUCAGCUGUCAGGAGGUGCCAGGCUUACCUGCCAGGACCGUGGUUUUCUGUCAUUGUAACUGUGGGAAUGGCUAAGUCCUGUCUAUGACAGUCACACGAAAUAAAGUGUUCUGUGCUCCAGGAAAG